rnacentral:rRNA from 1 species
GACGAACGCUGGCGGCGUGCCUAAUACAUGCAAGUCGAGCGGACAGAUGGGAGCUUGCUCCCUGAUGUUAGCGGCGGACGGGUGAGUAACACGUGGGUAACCUGCCUGUAAGACUGGCAUAACUCCGGGAAACCGGGGCUAAUACCGGAUGGUUGUUUGAACCGCAUGGUUCAAACAUAAAAGGUGGCUUCGGCUACCACUUACAGAUGGACCCGCGGCGCAUUAGCUAGUUGGUGAGGUAAUGGCUCACCAAGGCAACGAUGCGUAGCCGACCUGAGAGGGUGAUCGGCCACACUGGGACUGAGACACGGCCCAGACUCCUACGGGAGGCAGCAGUAGGGAAUCUUCCGCAAUGGACGAAAGUCUGACGGAGCAACGCCGCGUGAGUGAUGAAGGUUUUCGGAUCGUAAAGCUCUGUUGUUAGGGAAGCAACAAGUACCGUUCGAAU